rnacentral:rRNA from 1 species
UACGAAGGGGGCUAGCGUUGUUCGGAAUUACUGGGCGUAAAGCGCACGUAGGCGGGCGAUUAAGUCAGGGGUGAAAUCCCGGAGCUCAACUCCGGAACUGCCUUUGAUACUGGUCGUCUAGAGAUCGGAAGAGGUGAGUGGAAUUCCCAGUGUAGAGGUGAAAUUCGUAGAUAUUCGCAAGAACACCAGUGGCGAAGGCGGCUCACUGGCCCGAUACUGACGCUGAGGCACGAAAGCGUGGGGAGCAAACAGG